AGUUUGAUCCUGGCUCAGGAUGAACGCUGGCGGCGUGCCUAAUACAUGCAAGUCGAACGAAUCUCUUUUAGAGAUGAGUGGCGAACGGGUGAGUAAUACAUAGGUAACCUGCCCCUGUGCGGGGGAUAACAGGAGGAAACUCCUGCUAAUACCGCAUAGCCAUGAGCACCGCAUGGAGCUCAUGCCAAAUAUCCUUUAUGGGAUAGCGCAGGGAUGGACCUAUGGCGCAUUAGCUGGUUGGCGGGGCAACGGCCCACCAAGGCAACGAUGCGUAGCCGGCCUGAGAGGGCGGACGGCCACAUUGGGACUGAGACACGGCCCAGACUCCUACGGGAGGCAGCAGUAGGGAAUUUUCGGCAAUGGGGGAAACCCUGACCGAGCAACGCCGCGUGAGCGAAGAAGGCCUUCGGGUCGUAAAGCUCUGUUGUAAAGGAAGAACGGCGCAUACAGGAAAUGGUAUGCGAGUGACGGUACUUUACCAGAAAGCCACGGCUAACUACGUGCCAGCAGCCGCGGUAAUACGUAGGUGGCGAGCGUUAUCCGGAAUCAUUGGGCGUAAAGAGGGAGCAGGCGGCCGCAAGGGUCUGUGGUGAAAGACCGAAGCUAAACUUCGGUAAGCCAUGGAAACCGGGCGGCUAGAGUGCGGAAGAGGAUCGUGGAAUUCCAUGUGUAGCGGUGAAAUGCGUAGAUAUAUGGAGGAACACCAGUGGCGAAGGCGACGGUCUGGGCCGCAACUGACGCUCAUUCCCGAAAGCGUGGGGAGCAAAUAGGAUUAGAUACCCUAGUAGUCCACGCCGUAAACGAUGGUCACUAAGUGUCGGGGGUCAAACCCCGGUGCUGCAGUCAACGCAAUAAGUGACCCGCCUGAGUAGUACGUUCGCAAGAAUGAAACUCAAAUGAAUUGACGG
rnacentral:rRNA from 1 species